AAAAAAGGGCAAAGGAGUGUUGUUUAGACGUAAAGAGAUUUACAUUGAUACCCGCACUCGUAAAGAUGGAAUAAUUGUCAAUGAAAAGGCUGCAAGAUUGAUUGUUCCUGAUGCUACUAGUGCUCAAAACCAUUUGAAUUCACUUAGUCCAAACAACAACGAAAAUAAUGAAAAUGGUGAAGAUUAAAAGCUAAUUUGUUGUUGAAGAUGGAAUAUUGGCAAUUUAGUGGACUCAAUUUCUUACUGUUUUUUGAGAUUGUUAUGUAUGACACAAGAUGUC